GAUGAACGCUGGCGGCGUGCCUAACACAUGCAAGUCGAGCGGCAGCGGGGGGUGCUUGCACCCUGUCGGCGAGCGGCGGACGGCUGAGUAACGCGUGGGAACGUGCCCCAAAGUGAGGAAUAACUGCCCGAAAGGGUAGCUAAUACCGCAUAUUAUCUUCGGAUCAAAGGAUUUAUCCGCUUUGGGAGCGGCUCGCGUCGGAUUAGGUAGUUGGUGAGGUAAUGGCUCACCAAGCCGACGAUCCGUAGCUGGUCUGAGAGGAUGACCAGCCAGACUGGAACUGAGACACGGUCCAGACUCCUACGGGAGGCAGCAGUGAGGAAUCUUCCACAAUGGGCGAAAGCCUGAUGGAGCAACGCCGCGUGCAGGACGAAGGCCUUCGGGUUGUAAACUGCUUUUAUAAGUGAGGAAUAUGACGGUAACUUAUGAAUAAGGAUCGGCUAACUACGUG
rnacentral:rRNA from 1 species